UCAGGAAGUCUAGGGGGGCCUUGGAAUUCACAUUUCCUGCAGCCUGCAGGCCAUGCUGGGGCUCUGGCCCAGGAACUGUGCUUUAGAAGAGAUGGUAGAACGUAGCAUGUGCUGUGAGAUCCCUCCAAGCUGGGAAGGACCCAGGGGCAGGGGCAGGAGGACCGCCACCUGGCUUCACCAUGAAGGGCCCAAGAGCAUGGCAUGGAGGGAGAGGCAGAUCUAGAGAGAACACCGGCUGGUCUGCGGAGGGAGGCGGAGGAACGGGUUGAAGAGGGAAGAAUUCCUGACACAAACUCUGAAAUGACAAAGGAAAAGAAUGACAAAUCUGAUUACACUAACAUGAGCAACUUCCAAAGACCAAUCACAAGAAACAAAACAAUCACAAAGUCCCCACCAACAUGGCUGAAAGUAAAACAAUUAGCUGAGAAGAAAUAUUUGUCACCUACAGACCAUGUCACAGAGGAUUUUAUUUUAAAGCACCCUACAAAUCACUAAGAAAAAAGCCCCAAAGAAAUAGCAAUCUGGAAAAGGUUAAAAAGAAAUAGCAAUCUGGAAAAGGAUACAAAGAGAGAAUGUGCAGAAGAAGUGCCAGCAGCUGCAAAACCCACGUUCCACAAAAUCCUGGAUCAAACAGGCAGGAGACAGCAUGACAAGGUGCCACUCUCUGCCCAUCGGGUCGGCACGGAUUUAAAAACAAGGACCCGGUAUUGCCAAGGAUGUGGGGAAAGAGCCCUGUGGGUGAGGGCGUCAGUUGGACAAUGGCUGUCAACUUCUAGAAUAAUCAUGUGUGCUUCCCUUUGAUCCAAGAAUCCUGCUGGGGGGAAUUAUUCCUGUAGAAAUGUUUGCUCAGGUGUGCGAAGACACCUGCGUAAGACUUUUCAUCUCAGCAUUGUGUGUGAUGCUGAUGCCACAGCGUGGUGCCAAGACACCUCCUGGAGAGGACCCAGAAGGCCCGGCCACAGGUGGGGGUCAUGGUGCCAUGGUCCCUGCCCAGAGGAUGCCUGGCUGGUGCGGGGGCAAGAGGGAGGUGGUCCUGGAGGCAGCGUUGCCUUUAUCUACCCACAGGAGCGCACUGGACAGGGGUCCUGUGAGUGUGGGAUCAGGGUCCCCCAGGCCCCAUCUGCCCUCUGGUGCCCAGUGGCAUCGAGCAGUUGUCUUAGCCACUCUGACCUCCACAUCCUCCUCUGUGAAACGGGGUGCGACAGGACUACCUCUUGAGCUCCUGAGAUCCUGGCAUGCGUAGUGCUGUGUCAGGCGCAGUUCUAGGCCCUCUACCUUUACUGGGCCUAGGCAGCCUCCUACCAAAGGAGGAUGAGAAGACACAGAGAGGCUGAGCAACUGCCUGAGGUCACACAGCUGCCCAGUGACCGCAGAGGACACAGCUGGUGUCCCAUCCAUCAGUCACCCACCCUCCCCAUGCAGGACUCGCCUCUUCACGUCUAAGCCUGGGACGCCCGAGCAGGAUCCUUGGGCUGCUUCUCCCAGCUGCAACGAUGGGCAGGCUCCACCGCUGGAGGCCUGGAGAGUCCCUGCCCCAGGAGAGGGUCUCAGCCAACAGUGGCUAUGGGGGUGGCGGACAACUACUCCAACCCCUUGCUCCUCAGCAGGGCAACCUCUGGGGCCUGCUCCACGCUGUCUCCCAGGGCUCCCCACAGCACAGAGCCUGGUGCUUCCCUGGUAACUGCCUUGAUAACACAUACUUUACUGGCUUCUUCCCUUCCCUCCCUCUCGUGCCCUCCCCUGGGGCUUCCUGCAUCUCCCAAGCCAAGCACUUGCUCUGGAAUCCUUGUCCCGGAGUCUGACUCUGAGCCCCUGCCUGAGACAGUGGCAAAGCUGGAGUUGGGCCAGAAAGUCGGGCUCCAGAACCUACUUUUUAAAAGUUUUUUUGUUUGUUUGUUUUUUAAAUAAAGAGGCAACAGGG